UAGGGAAUCUUCGGCAAUGGGGGCAACCCUGACCGAGCAACGCCGCGUGAGUGAAGAAGGUUUUCGGAUCGUAAAGCUCUGUUGUAAGAGAAGAACGUGUGUGAGAGUGGAAAGUUCACACAGUGACGGUAACUUACCAGAAAGGGACGGCUAACUACGUGCCAGCAGCCGCGGUAAUACGUAGGUCCCGAGCGUUGUCCGGAUUUAUUGGGCGUAAAGCGAGCGCAGGCGGCUUAAUAAGUCUGAAGUUAAAGGCAGUGGCUUAACCAUUGUUCGCUUUGGAAACUGUUAAACUUGAGUGCAGAAGGGGAGAGUGGAAUUCCAUGUGUAGCGGUGAAAUGCGUAGAUAUAUGGAGGAACACCGGUGGCGAAAGCGGCUCUCUGGUCUGUAACUGACGCUGAGGCUCGAAAGCGUGGGGAGCAAACAGGAUUAGAUACCCUGGUAGUCCACGCCGUAAACGAUGAGUGCUAGGUGUUAGGCCCUUUCCGGGGCUUAGUGCCGCAGCUAACGCAUUAAGCACUCCGCCUGGGGAGUACGACCGCAAGGUUG
rnacentral:rRNA from 1 species